rnacentral:rRNA from 1 species
AUUUUAGUGUACGUGUUUAUAUGGAACCACUCUAACCCUAGGGCUACUUUGCUUGCCCAAGUCCGGAGGUCUUAGAAAAAACUACGUUUUUUCUUAGACUUGGGUCCGAAGGACCCUAGAUAUUUAUAACUUGGUUGUGAAACAUAUUAAAGGGUGAAAAUACUAUAACCGAGGGGUUAUGGAAAAAUAAUCUUAUGCUAGAAU